rnacentral:rRNA from 1 species
UACGAGGGAUGCAAGCGUUAUCCGGAAUUAUUGGGCGUAAAGCGUCCGCAGGUGGCUCUGUAAGUCUGUCGUUAAAGAAUGGGGCUCAACCCCAUACAGGCGAUGGAAACUACAAGGCUAGAGUUUGGUAGGGGUCACGGGAAUUCUUAGUGUAGCGGUGAAAUGCGUAGAUAUUAAGAAGAACACCAGCGGCGAAGGCGCGUGACUGGACCAGUACUGACACUCAUGGACGAAAGCUAGGGGAGCGAAAGGG